GACGAACGCUGGCGGCGUGCUUAACACAUGCAAGUCGAACGAUGAAGCCGGAGCUUGCUCUGGUGAAUUAGUGGCGAACGGGUGAGUAACACGUGAGUAACCUGCUCUUGGCUCUGGGAUAACUGCUAGAAAUGGUAGCUAAUACCGGAUACGACCCUCGGAGGCAUCUCCAGGGGGUGGAAAGAAUUUCGGUCAAGGAUGGACUCGCGGCCUAUCAGCUAGUUGGUGAGGUAACGGCUCACCAAGGCGACGACGGGUAGCCGGCCUGAGAGGGUGACCGGCCACACUGGGACUGAGACACGGCCCAGGCUCCUACGGGAGGCAGCAGUGGGGAAUAUUGCACAAUGGGCGCAAGACUGAUGCAGCAACGCCGCGUGAGGGAUGACGGCCUUCGGGUUGUAAACCUCUUUUAGUAGGGAAGAAGCGAAAGUGACGGUACCUGCAGAAAAAGCACCGGCUAACUACGUGCCAGCCGCCGCAGUAA
rnacentral:rRNA from 1 species